GAGUCUGCCUUGAAGAUCGGAGUGCUUGCACUCUGUGAAACAAGAUACAGGCUAGCGGCGGACGGGUGAGUAACACGUGGGUAACCUGCCCAAGAGAUCGGGAUAACACCUGGAAACAGAUGCUAAUACCGGAUAACAACAGAUGAUGCCUAUCAACUGUUUAAAAGAUGGUUCUGCUAUCACUCUUGGAUGGACCUGCGGUGCAUUAGCUAGUUGGUAGGGUAACGGCCUACCAAGGCGAUGAUGCAUAGCCGAGUUGAGAGACUGAUCGGCCACAUUGGGACUGAGACACGGCCCAAACUCCUACGGGAGGCAGCAGUAGGGAAUCUUCCACAAUGGACGCAAGUCUGAUGGAGCAACGCCGCGUGAGUGAAGAAGGGUUUCGGCUCGUAAAGCUCUGUUGUUGGUGAAGAAGGACAGGGGUAGUAACUGACCUUUGUUUGACGGUAAUCAAUUAGAAAGUCACGGCUAACUACGUGCCAGCAGCCGCGGUAAUACGUAGGUGGCAAGCGUUGUCCGGAUUUAUUGGGCGUAAAGCGAGUGCAGGCGGCUCGAUAAGUCUGAUGUGAAAGCCUUCGGCUCAACCGGAGAAUUGCAUCAGAAACUGUCGAGCUUGAGUACAGAAGAGGAGAGUGGAACUCCAUGUGUAGCGGUGAAAUGCGUAGAUAUAUGGAAGAACACCGGUGGCGCANGCGGCUCUCUGGUCUGUUACUGA
rnacentral:rRNA from 1 species